rnacentral:rRNA from 1 species
GACAGAGGUGCCAAGCGUUAGGCGGAAUCACUGGGCUUAAAGCGUGUGUAGGCGGCAUUGUAAGUACCUUGUGAAAUCCCACGGCUCAACCGUGGAACUGCUUGGUAUACUGCUUUUCUUGAGCCACUUAGGGGCUACCGGAACAAAUGGUGGAGCGGUGAAAUGCGUAGAUAUCAUUUGGAACGCCAAUGGUGAAAACAGGUAGCUGGGAGUGUGCUGACGCUGAGACACGAAAGCCAGGGGAGCGAACGGG